UACAGAGGGGGCAAGCGUUGUUCGGAAUUAUUGGGCGUAAAGGGCGCGUAGGCGGCCUGACAAGUGGAAGGUGAAAUCCCUCGGCUUAACCGAGGAACUGCCCUCCAAACUGUCUGGCUUGAGACCGGGAGAGGUGAGUGGAAUUCCCAGUGUAGCGGUGAAAUGCGUAGAUAUUGGGAGGAACACCAGUGGCGAAGGCGGCUCACUGGACCGGUACUGACGCUGAUGCGCGAAAGCGUGGGGAGCAAACGGG
rnacentral:rRNA from 1 species